GACGUAGGGAGCGAGCGUUGUCCGGAAUUACUGGGCGUAAAGAGCUCGUAGGCGGGACCGUAAGUCCGAGAGGAAAUCUCAAGGCUCAACUUUGGGGCUUUCUUGGAUACUGCGGUUCUGAGGAUGAGAGAGGUAAGUAGAAUUCCCGGUGUAGCGGUGAAAUGGCGUAGAUAUCGGGAGGAAUACCAGUGGCGAAGGCGGCUUACUGGCUCAUUCCUGACGCUGAGGAGCGAAAGCGUGGGGAGCAAAGCGGG
rnacentral:rRNA from 1 species